ACGUCUCUAAACUUGGCCUGAACCUCACUUUCACAGCCCACGGUGAUCAAGCCGACCUCAGGCUUCAGUCACGUUUGAGACCUGCAUCCUCGUAGUCCCCGUCUGCCUUCUCCAUGGGGAACCCGGCAGGGUUUCACAGCUGCACCGUUGGCAUCCCGCCGAAACCCUCCACUUGAAUGACUCACCCAGCCGGCUUGGUGACUCCAUUCGGCCUCUGGAGGCCUUCCUCUGGGGUGGCUCACACGGCCUGACCACCUCAUUGGCGCCCCUCCCUGUGCACAUCCAGGCAAGACAGUCUCUCCCAACGAGUGACCUCCCCGAAAGGGGAGUCCAGCCUCUCUGCUCCGUGUCCUGUGUCCUCCACUGGCUGGCCUCCCCUCUUCAGCCUCUGGAACCUGGAGAUCCCCGGUGUUCUACAGAAAAUUCCUAGGACUAACAGGCGAGAAGAUCGAGUCUGAAGGCUGCAAUCUGGAAGGGAUCCUGCCAUUGGGGCACGUGAACACUCCAGGGACAGAGGACGGAGAACCUUCUUGGCUUCAGCGUCCUGUGUGAGUCGGACGCACAGGGAACGUGCUUGGGUCUCAGACCGGGAGGUCUACUGCAGCAGGACGGUCGGCACCCUGGACGGGAGGGUCCGGGAGGCUUGAGACCAGGUCCUCC